UCGACCGCACGCUGCAGUGGAGCUGCGCCGCCGGACCCGCUGCGGAGCUACAAGUAGCUCCUAACGACACGUGGCCGGACCUGGUGUACUACAACUCCUUCACCCACGCCGGCAUGGGCGGACGCAUCUUCGUGGUGGACCGGCCGAAACGCAACCUCAACAAGAAGGGCAACAGUGCCGCCGCUGCCGGUUCCAGCCUGGCGCUGCUGCUGCUGGGAGCAGUCAUCACCAUCGCCACGAAGCUGUAGACUACUCGAGACAUCAUGCGCCCACUACGAGUCGAGGUUCAUCGACUCCCGUCCUUCAUCUCAUAGAAUGACAGCUUGUUGCUUCCGUCCACUAGUUUUUAAGUAUUACUCGUACAUCACAGCCAGAGAGAUUCAACGUUGAUCAUAGGGAGUAUUUUACUGGUAACAUUGGAAUUAAGUCGACAGACCAUGUAUAGUAAGAAAAGACAUUGGAUUGCGGAAUUAGACGAGGGCGAGGCAGCAAUUUAUAUAACGCAUUAAGUAACUCGAUGUCUCCUUCUGUUACUUUUUGAGUCAAAUAGUCUUUUAUAAGCCUAAACCUAUCUUGAUAGAAUUGUAAAUAUGUUUUGGUUAGAGGCCCGUGUCGAUCGUAAACCGUAAUACAACUUUUACUGGAAGAGAUGCCUUAAAGGGAUAAGUUCGCCGUUGUACUAAUGGCGAUUAAUUUUUUUCAUUGUUGUACAUACAGGGUUUUGCUACUACUACUACUUUUCCCAGCAAGGAAAGAGAAAAAAAAAUCACGGUGGAAGGACACAUCCAUGAAGAAAUCAAAUUCAUAAAGUUGCCUUGUAAUUUUGCGCAGCGGUGUACAUUAAUAUGUGGACAUACAUAUAUAUUUUUGGCAAAUCAGUCGCAUCGAUAUAUUGGAAUGUGACUUAUUUAAUUCGAUUUCCAAUUAUUUACACAAGAUUAAAUGCUAGUUGUCAAAGAUAUCACCUCCUCAAGGUCGAGCCUGACGCUGGCAUACCAAUAUUACAGACAAAAUGUUUUAAACAUAUUAUGUACUAAUAUUACUUUUCAGUAUGAUAUACAAAAAAGUAAAUAAGUUACAUAUUAGGUAUAUUUAUUUCAUAUUGUACAGUCUGGAGCAGAAGUAGCUAUGCAGGUGAGGUGGUCAAAACGAUCUAAAAACUGCUUACUCCAGGCAAAGAAAAUGUAUUGGAAUAGAAAGCUGACCUGAUAGCCACGGUGAAUAAUAGGAGCCUUUUCUGUUCAUUUUAGGUAUAGUUAAUCCUUUCAAGUAAAAUUUUUUCGUCACUAAUGGCGACAUGCUUCGAAACCAUCGGAGGUGCACGGCGUGCAGCCGACGCGAGCACUUAAGCCUGAGGAAGGAGCCCCGAUGGGCUGGAAACAUGUCGCCAAUACCGACGAAAAAAGUCAAGUGAGUGUAGCCGUGAUAUGUAUUAUGUAAAUAUUUUAGAAGAUGUCUCACGAAACUUUAAUGUCAAUUAAAAUUAAAAUUGUAAGAAAUAUCGAUAGUUUAUCGAUAUGACUUUAUCGACAAGGCCAUAUCAACCUGGUUACACAUUGUUAGUUGUACAUUAAAACCAAUUGGUUACGGUGACAGCUGGCUUUCGCUACAUCUAUUGAAUCUAAUAUCUCUAUGCACAAAAUGUAUGGAGCUGUACAGUGCCAUCUCGUUUACCUGUCAAAUUCGAAGCACGACAGCUUACUCAAUGUAUCUUUGCUCCAGGAACAAUAUCGUUAUUCUUUGAUCGUUUUGGGCAUCUCGCCUCGCCCGCUUAGUGCUUACCAACUUCUGUUGCUGACUACAGUGACUAUAACUAUAUAUACUCCUUUAAAAGUACAUGACUGCUCAAAGCUUUUGCAAUAAUUUUAUAAGAAUUCCUACAGAACUGUUUUCUAAGACUCGAUUCGUGUUCGUUGUAUUGUACUUACGAUAGAUCUCGUUUUUAUGCGAUGUUUAUUUUUAUUUUAUAUGUAUACAAAUUGUUCUUUUUGAUAGAAAAUAAAAUAUUUAAUAUAA